rnacentral:ncRNA from 1 species
CAAAUGGUGCCUUUUUAGGCUUAAUAGGGAAGUUGGUGCAAAUCCGACACGGUCCCGCCACUGUGAUAGGGAGUAUAUAUAAAUUAUGCCACUGAUUUAUCGGGAAGGCUUAUAUAUAUGAUGAUCUUAAGUCAGGAUAACUGCCAUUUGUUAU